rnacentral:rRNA from 1 species
UACGAAGGGGGCUAGCGUUGCUCGGAAUCACUGGGCGUAAAGGGUGCGUAGGCGGGUCUUUAAGUCAGGGUGAAAUCCUGGAGCUCAACUCCAGAACUGCCUUUGAUACUGAAGAUCUUGAGUUCGGGAGAGGUGAGUGGGAACUGCGAGUGUAGAGGUGAAAUUCGUAGAUAUUCGCAAGAACACCAGUGGCGAAGGCG